rnacentral:lncRNA from 1 species
CAUGCUUUUGUUCUUGAUUUCCAUGGUUGAAUAUUGAGUUAUCAUGAUGAAUUCAAUUCUGAAAAAUGGGUAUGGAAGAGGAAUUGUUGUUGGAAUAAUUUGAUUUUAGACUAUGUUAGUGUUUAGGGAUAGUUAAGCAUGGUUAUGAAUAAAAACACAAAAGAAAUAUUCAAUUUCUCUAGGGUUCCUUGUUGGUCGAACCAUGAGGGCUGAAUAUAAAUGGGGGAUUGUUUUCAUUUCAAGGAAAAUGGCUUGGAAAAUGAUGAAUUAAGG